GUAACGGCGAGCGAAAAGGGAAUAGCCCAGCGCCGAAUCCCCGGCCCCACGGCCGCGGGAAAUGUGGCGUUCAGGAGUGAGCGCGUCGGGCGCGGAGGCGGCGGCAAGUCCCCCUGACCGGGGCCUGUCCGUAGCGGGUGCGAGGCCCAUAGCCGCCGCCGCCGUCCCGAACGCGAUCUCCUUGGAGUCGGGUUGCUUGGGAGUGCAGCCCCAAUCGGGUGGUAAACUCCACCUAAGGCUAAAUACCGCCGUGAGACCGAUAGCAAACAAGUACCGUGAGGGAAAGUUGCAAAGAACUUUGAAGAGAGAGUUCAAGAGUACGUGAAACUGCUCAGAGGUAAACGGGUGGGCCCUCGAAAUCCUGUGGCGGGAGGAUUCAGUCUGUUUCGGCCGAGGCGGCGUGAGGAAGUCGUGGCAGGGCCUCCGCUGAACGCGGGCCGUCCUCCGCCGCUCAAUCUCAGCCGAUCCAGACGCAUUUGUCUCCCGCCCCGAGGACGCUGCAGCCGGUCUGGGAGUGCAAGCGCGACGGCCUGGAGGCCGGGGAGCCGCAGGUGGCCGGCGGCCCGCCGAGUGCGGGCUGUCGGUUGUUAGCAUCCCCGGCGGUGGCUCGUCCCCAGACCGAGGUGUCGAGAGUCCCUUCACGGGACUCCACGUCUCCGCCCCCGAGCCCAGCGGGACAGGGCCCGGCCAGGGUUCGCCGCCGUCGACCGUCGCACCACCACGGGGUGGGCGGACGGCGCCGGUGCCCGAAUCGCCGGGACGGACCCGCGGGGGACAGGAGGCUGGCAGCGAGUAGGUCGGUCACCCACCCGACCCGUCUUGAAACACGGACCAAGGAGUCUAACAUGUGCGCGAGUCAGUGGGUCUUGCACAGGCCCACGGGCGCAAUGAAAGCGAAGGGCCGCCGAGCGCGGCCCGAGUGGGGAUCCCGCCCCCCCGGGGGCGGGCGCACCCACGACCCGUCCUAUCCGGCUCGCCGGUUGGGCGGAGUCUGAGCGUACACGUUGGGACCCGAAAGAUGGUGAACUAUGCCCGGACAGGACGAGGCCAGAGGAAACUCUGGUGGAGGUCCGCAGC
rnacentral:rRNA from 1 species